AGAUGGCAUCACCUGGAAUGUCCUGUCAGGCAUUUCUACGAAUGCUUGAGAAGCGGACUGUUCGCUUUGGCCGUACUGGAAAGCUCUCAUCUGACAGCUUUCAGAAAAGCUUUUUUGAAUGGGCUGCUGUUCAAUAUGAAGUUGAUGCCAUUUGCAAAGAGGAGCAAUUUAGCUGUCCUGCCUGCACUCCAGCAAUGCUUGCCGUCUCGGUUGACGGAAACCGCAAGCUUUAUCGUUUCAAGAGUACAGCACGAUCAGAGGAGCGGCCGAUCUUUGAUGGUGUCUUCAUUGCUAAUGAUGAAGAUGUGACCAGAUUUGUGGACCAAGUACACACCAAAACCAAACAUAGUUUGUUUGGACUGUCCAGAGCUCCAGUCUCUUCAAAACAUGAGGCCCUUCCUGUCGGUUUUGCAUGCUAAAGCCCAUGACUUCAAAUGUGAGGUAAAAUGGAGUGGAGCCAACCAAGAUGGGGCUGGUUCGACAUUAGGGGAGGAAGUAGAGCAGUGUAAUGCGUUUCUCUCCAGAAUAGCGGUCACUACAAAGCACAUGUCAAAAGCAGGUACCAUAUAAUUGUACCUUUUAUUUAUAGAAGAAAUUACAUUUAAUUAAAAGGAUAUUCUUGCAGAACAAAUCUCUGUGCCCUUGCAGGACGCA